UGCCUGUUGCGGGGCCAGCUCCCUCCUUGGCCGAGGAGGAGGCUUUUCUCUGCUUCCCUUCUCCCAGGCGGCCCCACUAAGGCCCCCUGUGCCCCAGCAGAGCCAAUGUCUGGCCUGUGGGAGCAGGAGGAGCAGCGGUGGAAGCCUGAUGCCAUGUGGUCCCAGGGGACAGCCAUAUGGCUGGGGAGCACACCUGCAUCGGGGCUGUCUAGGAGUGCCCACAUCGACCUCACCUUUCCUCACAGGAGAGGUGCUCCAGCCCUCUGAUCACCUUAGUGGCCCUCCUCUGGACCGCUCCAAGAGCUCCAUGUCCUUGGCUAUUGGGCUAUUAAAAUAGAAUCUGAUCUAACUAAUGAGCGCACUGUCUUGAUGAGCAAAUGGAGCCCCAUUUUCCCUCUGCAUGUCUUACCUAAGGCAGCAGAGGCUUCUGAAAUCCAUUGCUGAAGCCAGUUCAGAUUACUUUUCAUUUCUUAGCCUGAUUUUCUAGUCCAAGUAAAUGAGCUGGAUGUUGAGAAACUCUGGAAAGUUCAGCAUCUGUACCGGAAUGCUGCUUAUGCCGCAGGUUGAAUAUAAUAUGGAAUUUAAGUCACAGAGGAAAAAUGGAAUGUUUAAGAAUGUAAUAACCAUUUAUAUUACAUAUAUAAAUGUCAUAUUGCAGAUACAUGUCAUACAUACAUGUAUACCUGUCUUAUUACAGAUAUACCUCUCAAUGAAUGCAAUAACCUUGCAGAAAGGUGGUGACAGGGCCAAGCUGCAGAACAGACCAAUCCGUAUGUCUCUGAAAUUGCUAGCUUCCUGUCUUGAAGGAUUUUUAUCAUGGUUCAGUUUAUCAUGGACAUGUACAAAAUCUUUUGUAAAAUUCUGGGCAUUGAAGAGCAACUGACAAGACAAAAGUGUCCCCAAAAAUAACAAACGUACAUAUACUCACUCUGAAAAGGCUUGCAUUUUCCAGUUAACAUUUUGACCACAGCAAAAAUCCCAGUAAAUGCAUGUAGCAAUUAAGCACAUGACUACAAGAGUACUAAAGGUACUCUGAACCCCAACAUGUUCAGAACAAUUGUAAAAGUGCUUCUGUUUUUCCCAGGCUAGACACCAUUGGGCACCCUGACCAACCUAAUCUCCAGUGACCAGGUGACCCUCCUGGUCAGUGAGAGAAAGUCUGUUGACGUAGUCUGCCUUGACUUCAGCAAAGCCUUUGACUCUGCCUCCCACAGUAUUCUCCCAGAGAAGUUGGCAGCCCAUGGCUUGGACAGGUACACUCUUUGCUGGGUAAAGAACUGAUUGGAGAGCCAGGCCCAGAGUAUGGUGGUGAAUGGAGUUACAACCAGCUGUGAACAGUCACGAGCACUGGUGCCCAGAGCAGCAGAUAUAGCUGGAAACACCAAUGUCAUGGUUUUGUAACUUCGCUAUUGGUAUUCCACAUCAUAACAUCAUGGACAAAAGAGAAGAACUACGUAUCCCAGAGGACCUCACGGUCAGAGAAGGAAGACACAUCACGGAAGAUACGUCAUCUGGUUGCGCGCAGUUUUUUCUUCACUUUCGCUUGCUGCCGGGAGAGGAGUGGGUGUGCUUUCCAAGCCGGGCGCCUUCAUCAAGGAAUACAGCAUUCAGAGGCACAUCUUUUGUUGCAUCCAGCUAGCGUGCAGCUCUGUGCCCCUGACAGCCACUGCAGUAGCUGGCAGACAGCCCAGUGCUAUGAUUGCAGCAAAACACGAGGUAGCACCAUCCUGAGAGCAGUGCCUUAAGGCUGACUGGGCUGACCUUUAAAAAUGGAAAGCAGAACACAGCAAAAACAUGCUUUUGAGCUGCAAGCACACAGUGUAUUUCCACUGCUCCACCACCAGAAUUGGAAGGACUUUACUGAAAUAACACCUACUAGUUCGGAGAUGCCGUCCUCUCUGACACUUACUGUCUUAAAUGUCCCUGAUUUCAUAAACCAGUUGAUUGUUAAGUAUUGGUUUCAGUGAACAGAAAUCUGAAUCACCAUGCCAUAGGCCCAUCAUGUCAAAAUCAUCCUCACUGUCUUUAAAGUAGUUAUAGCAUUUCACACACAAGAUUUGUAGAGCGAGAGAAUGUGCUCAUUAGACCAAAGUGAUAAAUGGUGGGAAAAGCAGGCUCAAGCAACACAGGCUGUCUUCAAAUCUUUCCAGACACCAGAGAACUAAAAAUGAAAGUAUUUCUGGGUAGUUUAUGUUUCUCUGGCAAGCUAGACCACUUUCUUUGCUAUUACCUAAUUUUACUUCUUAAUGGAGAUGUUGUACUUGUCUGGAGAAAAUGCAAGCCAAAACUGCAGCUGCCAGUAAAAGUGGAUAGGAGAAGCUGAUAUCUCACUCCAAAGCCUUUUCUUCCCACUUCAGUAACUGCUACUACAGCACAAGCUAUCAGGAUUGGGAAGUUCAAGUGAUAGACUAUGGAAAUUGAUGGGGAAGAUGUAGACGAUGAUGAAGAAGAUGAUAGGGCAUAUGUAAGACAGGAUAGCAAUAGCCCAUUGUAAAUUUACGUACGGUCUCUUGAACAAUAAAGAAGAUGAGCUUGAAUAGAAGUUAUUAUUUUAGGUAACUUUAGUUGUUCAUGAUUUUCUGCUCGGCUGCUCUUACUAUUAAAUUACAGCAAUUUAGGUAUGUACAUUUGCUUAUAUAUGCACAUUGUAACUAACACAAACACUGCUUCAAACUUAUCCACAGGACUUCUGUAAGAUAAAGAAAGAAAGGAAGAAAAAAACGUGAAAAAUAUAUUCAAAAGGCGUUAUUGAAAAAGGGUAUUUGUGAAUACACUCCUACACUCGCUUGGAUUAAUGUUACACUUUAUUAUUGUCAGUGGCUUGUAUAACCCACUCCUUAUAAGAUUUCAAAGGCAUAAUCGAAACUAAACCUGUGCCUGAAAUCACUGCAAGCUGGUAAAAUGAGAUUUUUGUUUAUGUGCUCUCAGACAAACGUCAUUAUUCUAUGAAAACUUCUAUAUACGACGUUACUCCAAAGUUAAAAAAUAUAUAUAAAUACAUAAAUUUAAACCUUGUUUCUUAGAAGAAUUUUGUCUAACUUUGUACAAGUAAGACUGGAACAAAAUUACAUUCUUAGAUAUGCAUUUGAAAUUUUCUCAAAUACCAGUUCUUUAUAGAGGUACCUUGUUUUAAUAGCUGCAUAUGCUUUCACUUCUUCAGUCGGAUAGGUUUCGUUUUGUUUUUUUUUUUUACUUUCAGAGCUUUUAAUGUGCUGUCAGGGACCCCAGAUGUCACCAAGUAGGGGAUAAGCUUUCAAAACCUUGUGAUACAAAGUUGAGAUAUUUCUUAGGAAAAAGAAGAUUUAUUAGGAGAGAAGUGGUACUGACGUCUCCUUUCCAAAUGCAGUGGUUUUGGUGGGAUUCAAAUGGCUCCCGAGAUGAGAAGCCUGUUGUCAAGACACAGCAGGAAGAUGAUUUUAUGUUGUAUGGAGAGGGUCAAAGAUGGAAGAUAGUUGCCUUUGAAAGUAUGUUCUUGAGACAGCAAGAAUUAACUGAAUAACAUUAGGAAGACAUCAUGUAAGGAAGGGAACUGUGAAAAAGUUUGGUUGUAUUAUUUUGAAGAAGCAGCUCGAAAAUAGCAUUCAGGGGUACCCAAACUAGUGACCUACAGAGUCAUAUGAACUUUACGGUGUUUCCCUCCCUUUUCCUGCUGACAGUGCAUAGGGAGACCACAAAGAAUGAUAAAGAUAACAUUUGUCGUUUGUCCAAGAGCCACAGACAGUUGGUGACUCACUGACACUGCUGAAGAAAUCUUCAAGGGAAACAGCGCAGUGAAGGAAACCAGUAAUAAAAGUGUAGAAUAUAGCACAGAAAGAACUGAAAUACCAUCUUUUACACUAUCUUGGAAAAAAAAUGGUAAAGAAAUUAAAAUUCACAGCUGUUCAAAUCCACAAAUCCUUAGAUGCCAAAAAAGCAAAUGCUGUCUCUCUCUUUUCAUGCCUUCUCCUUCAUGGGCAACAGGUUAGCCAUGAGCCAGCAGUCUGCCCUAGUGGCCAGGAAGGCCAGUGGUAUCCUGGGGUGCAUUAAAAAGAGCGUGGCUAGCAGGUCGAGGGAGGUGAUCUUUCCCCUCUGCUUUGCCCUGGUGAGGCCACAUCUAGAGUAGUAUGUCCAGUUCUGGGCUCCCCAGUUCAAAAAAAAAAACAAAAAAAAAACAAAACAGGGAUCUCCUAGAAGGAGUCCAGCAGAAGGCCACAAAUACAAUAAAGGGACUGGAGCAUCUCCUAUAUGAGGAAAGGCUGAGUGACCUGAGUCUGUUCAGCCUCGGUAAAAGAAGACUGAUCUGAUUAAUGUUUAUAAAUAUCUACAGGGAGGUGGGAGGCAAAUGGAUGUAGCCAGGCUUUCCUCAAUAGUGUGUAGCAAUAGGACAAGGAGGGAUGACCCAAAAAUCAUACACAGGAAAUUCAAUACAAUAUGCAGAAGAACUUCUUUAUGAUAAGGGUGACAGAGCACUGGAACUGGUUGCCCAGAAAGGUUGUGGAGUCUUCUUCUAUGGGGAUAUUCAAGACGCAUUGUAGGGAACCUGCUUUAGCAGGUUUGGACUCAGUAGUCUCUUGAGGUCCCUUCCAACCUCUGCAAUUCUGUGAUUCACCCACCACACUGAGAAAGAUAUCCUGAAGGAAACAAAAACAUUUACACAAACAAAGAAAACCAAUCUGCUAUGGCAUCUCUUUUAUCUGUUUCCUAACAGGGUUCCAACCUCACAUUCCAUAUAUCAUAGGUAAAUUUCUCCCAGUUUCUUACUUCUCAAGCUUUUCUUCAUCUCAAAGCCUAUUGCUCUCUUCUUUCGUCUCCUUGUACCUCCUUCUUUGCUAUUCUCUUGUACCCAUGGAGUUUCUCAAGCCUCAGGCUCUUUUCCAAGCAGUUGUACUUUCCCUUUCUCCUAGAUAUUAUCUCUCGUUACUGUCUCAUUAAUAAUGAUCUUUCAAGAAGAUUACAUAAAUUCAUGUCUCCUUGCACAAUUUUACCACCCACUUACCUCUCAUGUAACUAAGUAAUUUGAUUUUAAUGGGAAGUGGGAGUUACCAGCACACUUUACCCACUUCCUAUCCAAUGGAAUGUAUGUAAAUAGGGGAAAAUUUACUUCUUCCCCAUCUAUUCUGGAGGUUUGCAAGAAGGGAUGUGAAAUAGCUGAUAGGAAUUUAUGUGCAUUACAGCCAAAGCCACCAUCCCUUACAGACGACUCCCUAAAUCAGACUGCAUUACCAUAGUGUACCAUCAAUCUAACUACGGUUCUUAUAUGACUAUUACAUGACUUCUGGCUAAGAACUCAGGCUAGAAUUUCAAACCAGAAAGAGGAACAAAUGUAUGAAUCAUAGAAUCACAGAAUCACAGAAUGGCUUGGAUUGAAAGGGCCUUGAAGAUCACCCAAUUCGAGCCCCCUGCUGCAGGCAGGGCUGCCCCCCACCAGAUCAGGCUGCCCAGAGCCCCAUCCAGCCUGGCCUUGAACGCCUCCAGGGAUGAAAAGCUCAACUGCUUGACUUACCAUACAAGUGCUUCAAAUAGAAUUGAGACAUUUGGUUCUCUCAUGACAAAGAAAUAUAUAUUCGUAUUGAAACACUCCUUAUAUAUCCCUUCUCGCAACAGGUCUAAGCAGGCUUAAUACCUGCAGGAGCAACACCUCUUUAACCAACGAAACAAGUACAUUUUUCUUCGCAUGACUUUGUACUCAGUAAAAUAUUGAAAAGGAAAAUAGGUGUUCUUUUAUUACUCCUCUUCCAUAUAACAUAUUCAGCACUUUGAUAGAUUUUUUCAGGAACAGUUCAGGUUCUCCACUUAUCUGUGGUGGUUUCACACCAAUGGGCAGUUCAGCACUCCUACAUCACUUCUCCUCAAAAGGAGAGAAAAUAUGAUGAGGAAAAUAAAGGCUCGUGGGUUGAAGUAAGGACAGGGAGAUCACUCACCAAGUACCAUCGUUCCAGCUGUAUUUGUCUUGCAAGACAACAGCUCUCAUGAGGAUAUAAAGGAACAUCAAGGAUGUUCUCAUCAGCACUGUUGUGAGGCAAAGCUGGGAAGGUGGCAUAAAGGCUGGUACUGAAGGGAAGCUGCCUGCAGGCCCCUCCAGUACAGCAGUCUGAGUUUGCCCUGCUGCCACAGGACUCAUGCAGCAAGGCACAGCCUCAAGGCCACUGCUCUGCUGCACAGCGCUUACUCAAGCUGACUGUGGUGUUGUGGGUCACCCUGUGAGGAUCAAUACAUUAUCCUGUCCCAAAUUAAGGACACCAACAAUAUAUGUUCCAUAUCUGUUUAUAGGAAGGCUCUCAGUUAAGAAUAUAACUACCUAUACCAGAUCCUGGAUGAAUAACUUCCAGACUGCUUGGGCUAUAAGACCCUGUUAAUUCAGUGCCAGUGUUAACUGAGCCAUUUUUCUACGAGUAUCCAGGAGGGCAUCUGUCUGCUCCUUCAAGGGCAUCUGAUCAAGGGCCUUUUACAAGGGAUAAUAAAAGGGAGACAGUGAUGGGAACCAAGUCUGGUCAGUCACAUCAUUCACACUAACUGAUGAGGGCACGUGAGAGCGUAGGCAUGUUAUUUCAGCAAGAUGAUCUGAUUGAGGACUUCUAAGGUGGAAGACAACUGAGGGACACAAACUCCCCCACUCACACCAACUGGUAAGCCAGCCAGCUAUGGGCACCAUUUUCAGGAAGGAUUAACCUUAAGAGUGUGAAGGAAGGGGCCUGGACUAGGAGAGCACAAAAACUGCAGAGCUCUGCAAACCCUUGGGUGUGUGCAGGGGAAGGGGGAGCAGGAGGAACAAGGGGAGGGAACAGGUGGGAAAAGGCAUCACUAGAGGCACCUGAUCACAGACUAUCCCACUGUCCUGUAUUUUCUCUAGUUAAUGUUUUUUUUCAACUGCCUUUUCUGCACUCUUUCCCAUGUGUACACGUGCUUUAAGGACUGUAUCAGCCUGGAUGUGUUGAGUGAACCUCACUGCCAGUCAGUGGAGUCAGGUUGUGAACUGGACACAUUGGCACAUUGUGCCAGCUGGUGGAGUCAGUGAGGUCCCAGCAUAGGCUACUGGAGCCAGGCAGUUGGUGGGACUGAGAUGGCACACCCAGACUUUUCAGUGUAGUGUGACUGAAGGACAGCUGUGCACAGUUACAGCCAGCUUCAGGCUAGACCUGCUGGUGACCAGCUGAUUGCCUGGCCGUCCACAUGUGCCUAUGCAACUCUGGGAUAGGUGCUCCGCUUUGCUACUGGCUGAACCUGCAAAGGGGAAAGCAGCAAAUGUGUCCCCCACCCUGGCAGUGACCCCAGGUCCCCAGACUGGGCAAGAAGCAGGUGGAGGAGGCAGCCAUGCUCUCUUUGGUCUUUAUCUCACAAUCUUCAACCACCUGCAGCUUGGAGAAAAUUUCAUUUCAGAACACUAGAAGGUGGGUAAAAGUAAGAAAAAAAAAAUUGUUUUCUUCUUGAGAAUGUAUUCGAAACUGAAAAUAUUUGUACUGCUCAGACUCCAGAAACGCAAGUGGCCUUCUAGUUCACCAAAAUUAAUAUAAGAAACCCUUUUAUGCCACACUUGUAGCGUGUAAUGCAAGACCAAACUUCUCUGCUGAAACCAAAAGUUUAAGUAGAGUAAUUAAAUAAAUCUGAAGUACCUCUUUCAAAACAUUCUUAGGAAUACACAAAGAAGAUUUGCAUCAGGUAUGGAGUGAUCAGGUAGUCAGGAAAACUACGAUGCGAAGGACUCUGACUAUUUCAGCUCCUUUAUUAAUAGUACAGUGCAGCAACAUCAAUUGAAAUAAAUACAGUUUGUAUAUAAUAUAAAAAUAUAACCCUUAAAGUUUGUACUGUGCUAGGACUUAAGUACUGAGCUUAAACAGCAGAUAUAUAACAUUUUAUCUUAAAUAACGCGGAGAGACAGGUACACUCAACCAAAUGGAUCUAGUAACGUUUUCUUUAAUCUGAUGACAAACAUACAAAGACCAGUUUAUUAGUCUGUUGUAACCAUAUGUCACACUUCAGAUGAGAGCUGAGAGCAAACUAACUGUUUUUCAAAGCUUUCUCUUUCUCAUUGUUCUCUCACCACAGUACAGUGGUUCUACAGCCAAAACAAAUUUUGGAUAGUAUCAUUUAUUAGCCGAUCCAGAAAAGCAUUACUCAGACAACCAGCUUAAGGCACUAUGGUUUCCACAACAGACACAUUAACUGGGGAAAAAAAAAAAAAAAAAAAAAAAUCAAAAAGAGGCUAUUAGAGUUCAGCUACAGUACUAUGAUAAACAUGUUUUUUUCUCUGAAUAUAUAUGACAACACAUU